GCACUGCUGAGGAGUCCCACAAUAGGACAAAACAGCCGUCCAGUGC
rfam:Schistosoma curassoni strain Dakar, Senegal genome assembly, scaffold: SCTD_scaffold0000296